rnacentral:rRNA from 1 species
UACGAAGGGGGGCUAGCGUUGUUCGGAUUUACUGGGCGUAAAGCGCACGUAGGCGGUUUGUUAAGUCAGGGGUGAAAUCCCACAGCUCAGCUGUGGAACUGCCUUUGAUACUGGCAAGCUAGAGUCCGGAAGAGGUAAGUGGAACUCCUAGUGUAGAGGUGGAAUUCGUAGAUAUUAGGAAGAACACCAGUGGCGAAGGCGGCUCACUGGUCCGGUACUGACGCUGAGGUGCGAAAAGCGUGGGGAGCAAACAGG